CCUCACACCAAUCAGGAAAGCGGGUUCCAUGGAAGGGACACCUCAGGGCUCCCGAGAUCCAUAUAUGACUUCCGUUUUGAGCACGAUGGAUGGGAGACCCACCAAUCACUAAGAACCUGGAGAUAACUUCAUCUUUCAGCCCAAGAACAAGGAGAGUAGCCGUGACUUCCUCUGGGGCUCUGCCCUCUGGGUUAGAGUUAAUGCGGUUAACAGCAAGUCCUUGGAGAUAUUUGGCAGACAGACUCCUCACUAAUAACAUUAUGAGCUCAGGCUGGAAUGUCAACUUGAACUUUAGCAUUCGUGGCACAACCAACUAUAACUCAGUGGAGAUGAUCUCACUGAAUGGCUGAAGCUCUACAAGCUUAUUGCAGAGCCCCACCUCGAACUCCAGGGAGGCGGUUUCUCCAGGCAACCUGCUGGGGCUACAGGAACACAGAGCAGAAGGCAGCCCUCAAUACAAAAGCUGCAGGCCUGCUUUGAUACAGAUUUCUGCAAGGCUGCUGAAUAGAGGCCAUGAAAUACAGUAGGUUCCUACAAAGUCCAAGAACUUUGAACAUCACUAUCCUAAAUAAACUCUAAAUGAGGAGAUGCCA
rnacentral:lncRNA from 1 species